AUUGAACGCUGGCGGCAUGCUUUACACAUGCAAGUCGAACGGUAACAGGCCUUCGGGUGCUGACGAGUGGCGAACGGGUGAGUAAUGCAUCGGAACGUACCCAGAGGUGGGGGAUAACGCAGCGAAAGCUGUGCUAAUACCGCAUGUGAUCUGAGGAUGAAAGCGGGGGACCGAGCAGCAAUGUUUGGCCUCGCGCCUUUGGAGCGGCCGAUGUCGGGUUAGCUAGUUGGUGGGGUAAAGGCCUACCAAGGCGACGAUCCGUAGCUGGUCUGAGAGGACGACCAGCCACACUGGGACUGAGACACGGCCCAGACUCCUACGGGAGGCAGCAGUGGGGAAUUUUGGACAAAGGGCGCAAGCCUGAUCCAGCAAUGCCGCGUGCGGGAAGAAGGCCUUCGGGUUGUAAACCGCUUUUGGCAGGAACGAAACGGUGUCCGCUAAUACCGGGCGCUAAUGACGGUACCUGCAGAAUAAGCACCGGCUAACUACGUG
rnacentral:rRNA from 1 species